CUACACCGUGCUACUGGCGUAUACAAAGAGAAGCGAACUCGCGAGAGCAAGCGGACCUCAUAAAGUACGUCGUAGUCCGGAUUGGAGUCUGCAACUCGACUCCAUGAAGUCGGAAUCGCUAGUAAUCGUAGGAUCAGAAUGCUCACGGGUGAAUACGUUCCCGGGGCCUUGUACACACCGCCCGUCACACCAUGGGGAGUGGGUUGCAAAAGAAGUAGGUAGCUUAACCUUCGGGAGGGCGCUUACCACUUGUGAUUCAUGACUGGGGUGAAGUCGUAACAAGGUAACCGUAGGGGAACCUGCGGUUGGUAUCACCUCCU
rnacentral:rRNA from 1 species